GUAAAACUGGAGUAAGAAAUGACCGCUUACGAACAACACUCAUCGCAUAACUGGGGUGGAUUUUACGUAACUCUAGGGAAGAAAUGGAGGCUUAUAACAGACUCCUCCUCGUAAAACUUGGUGAAUUAGAACUGGUGUGACACUGGAUAAGAAAUGACCGCUUACGAACAACACUCAUCGCAUAACUAGGGUGGAUUUUACGUAACUCUAGGGAAGAAAUGGAGGCUUAUAACAGACUCCUCCUCGUAAAACUUGGUGAAUUAGAACUGGUGUGACACUGAAGGAAGAAAUGACAGCUUACAAACUACUUUCCUCAUAAAACUGGGGUGGAAUUUACGUAACUCUAGGGAAGAAAUGGAGGCUUAUAACAGACUCCUCCUCGUAAAACUUGGUGAAUUAGAACUGGUGUGACACUGGAGGAAGAAAUGACAGCUUACAAACUACUUUCCUCAUAAAACUGGGGUGAAUUUACAUAACUUUAAAACUGACUUCAUCAAAAAACUUGGUGAAUUAGAACUUGUGUGAGACUGGAGGAAGAAACGACAGCUUAUGAACUACUCUCCUCGUAAAACUGGGGAAAUAUCGAGAGCUUACAACCUACGUAUCGUCACCGAACACUCUCCUAAGCUUACGGGGGUUUACGAAGGGUACGAGUAUGCAUGCCAACAGGUCCAAGGAAGCCAAGAUACGUUUGUGCGAGUUUGGCACUUGUCGUAAUGUAAGUCGCUUUCGAGUGCCGUACAAUUGCCAAAAAACAGUGGAAUUGGGGACACACGAACUUAUGCAUGAGGUGGUUUGACACUUGGGUUUUUAUAUCGAAAAAGGAAGGUUCUAAUACUAUAAAAUGUUAUAUAUGUAUGUUUCGUAACCUAUUAGUUGCUUUCACACGCCUUUACGGUUGCCGAAGAGUGAAAUUGAGGACACAUGAAUCUAAGAAUGGGAUAGAUUUUCAACUUCUAUUAUCUAACAUCGAAAAAGUGAGGUUCUGAUGCUAUGUAACUAAACUCCGUCGUCUGUUCAAGUCUCGAUUAUAGGAAUUAUGAGGUGGAUUUCGACUCUUCUAUAAUAUAACAUCGAAAAAUUGAGGUUCUGACACUACUUAACUAAACUCCGUCGUCUGUUCAAGUCUCGAUUAUAGGAAUUAUGAGGUGGAUUUCGACCCUUCUAUAAUAUAACAUUGAAAAAUUGAGGUUCUGACACUACUUAACUAAACUCCGUCAUCUGUUCAAGUCUCGAUUAUAGGAAUUAUGAGGUGGAUUUCGACCCUUCUAUAAUAUAACAUUGAAAAAUUGAGGUUCUGACACUAUGUAACUAAUCUCCGUCAUCUGUUCAAGUCUCGAUUAUAGGAAUUAUGAGGUGGAUUUUGACUCUUCUAUAAUAUAACACUGAAAAAUUGAGGUUCUGAUGCUACGUAACUAAACUCCGUCGUCUGUUCAAGUCUCGAUUAUAGGAAUUAUGAGGUGGAUUUCGACUCUUCUAUAAUAUAACAUUGAAAAAUUGAGGUUCUGACACUACUUAACUAAACUCCAUCGUCUGUUCUAUAAUAUAACAUCGAAAACUUGAGGUUCUGACGCUACUUAACUAAACUCUGUCGUCUGUUCAAGUCUUGGUUAUAGGAUUUACGAGGCAGUUUUAGAUUUUCCUAUAAUUUGACAUCGAGAAAGUGAGGUUCUGAUGCUAUGGAACUAGAAUCUGCCGUCUGUUCAAGUCUCAAUUCAGGAAACACGAAAUUAUGAGAUGAUUCAACAUUUCUGAAACUCAACAUCCACAAAGUUAAGUUCGUAAUGAUAUGAACUUAAGUUUGUUGUCUGUUUGCGAGUCUCAGUUCAGGUGAUCCGAUAUUAUGAAGCCGACUUGACACUCUUGAAAUACGACAUCCACAAAGUUAGGUUCGUAAUGAUAUAAAACUUAACUCUGUCGUCCGUUUCCGAGUCUCAAUUCAGGAGAUCCGAUAUUAUUUAGCUGGUUUGACACUCUUGAAAACGACAUCUACAAAGUUAGGUUCGUAAUGCUGUAAAACCUAACUCUGUCCGUUUCCGAGUCUCAAUUCAGGACAUACGAUAUUAUGUAGCUGGUUUGACACUCUUGAAAACGACAUCUACAAAGUUAGGUUCGUAAUGCUAUAAAACCUAACUCUGUCCGUUUACGAGUCUCAAUUCAGGACAUCCGAUAUUAUUUAGCUGGUUUGACACUUUUGAAAACGACAUCUACAAAGUUAGGUUCGUAAUGGUAUAAAACCUAACUCUGUCUGUUUACGAGUCUCAAUUCAGGGCAUCCGAUAUUAUUUAGCUGGUUUGACACUCUUGAAAACGACAUCCACAAAGUUAGGUUCGUAAUGCUAUAAAACCUAACUCUGUCUGUUUCCGAGUCUCAAUUCAGGAGAUCCGAUAUUAUUUAGCUGGUUUGACACUCUUGAAAACGACAUCUACAGAGUUAGGUUCGUAAUGCUAUAAAACCUAACUCUGUCCGUUUACGAGUCUCAAUUCAGGACAUCCGAUAUUAUUUAGCUGGUUUGACACUUCUGAAAAACGAUGUCCACAAAGUUAAGUUCGUAAUGAUAUGAACUUAAC